rnacentral:rRNA from 1 species
CCUACGGGUGGCAGCAGUGGGGAAUAUUGGGCAAUGGAGGCAACGCUGACCCAGCAAUGCCGCGUGAAUGAAGAAGGUCUUCGGAUUGUAAAGUUCUUUAAUUGGGGACGAAAAAAAUGACGGUACCCAAGGAAUAAGCCACGGCUAAACACGUGCAAGCAGCCGCGGUAAUAAGGAGGGGGAAAGGGUUGUUGGGAAUGACUGGGGGUAAAGGGUGUGUAGGCGGUGGAGCAAGUCAGAAGUGAAAUACCUCGGGCUUAACUCGGGUACUGCUUCUAAAACUGCUAUACUUGAGUGCAGUAGAGGAAAGUGGAAUUCCUAGUGUAGCGGUGGAAUGCGUAGAUAUUAGGAGGAACAUCAGUGGCGAAGGCGACUUUCUGGACUGUAACUGACGCUGAGGCACGAAAGUGUGGGGAGCAAACAGGAUUAGAUACCCGGGUAGUC